CUUCUCGUGGAGUAGUUGGCAACGCGCCUGUUUAGUGAGUAGGAGUCGCGAGUUCGAAUCUCACCGAGAAGA
rfam:Aedes albopictus isolate Foshan contig3510, whole genome shotgun sequence.